UGAGCAACCUGCCCUUGACUCUGGAAUAACAGCUGGAAACAGCUGCUAGUACCGGAUACGACCUCCGACGGCAUCAUCUGGAGGUGGAAAGCUCCGGCGGUCAAGGAUGGGCUCGCGGCCUAUCAGCUUGUUGGUGAGGUAAUGGCUCACCAAGGCGACGACGGGUAGCUGGUCUGAGAGGAUGAUCAGCCACAUUGGGA
rnacentral:rRNA from 1 species